rnacentral:rRNA from 1 species
UACGUAGGGUGCGAGCGUUGUCCGGAAUUAUUGGGCGUAAAGAGCUUGUAGGCGGUUUGUCGCGUCUGCUGUGAAAUCUCAAGGCUCAACCUUGAGCUUGCAGUGGGUACGGGCAGACUAGAGUGUGGUAGGGGAGACUGGAAUUCCUGGUGUAGCGGUGAAAUGCGCAGAUAUCGGGAAGAACACCCGUGGCGAAGGCGGCUCUCUGGGACGGUACUGACGCUGAGACGGCGAAAGCGUGGGGAGCGAACAGG